rnacentral:rRNA from 1 species
UACGGGGGGGGGCAAGCGUUGUUCGGAAUUACUGGGCGUAAAGAGCUCGUAGGCGGUCUGUUGCGUCGGCUGUGAAAACCCGGGGCUCAACUCCGGGCCUGCAGCCGAUACGGGCAGACUAGAGUUCGGCAGGGGAGACUGGAAUUCCUGGUGUAGCGGUGAAAUGCGCAGAUAUCAGGAGGAACACCGGUGGCGAAGGCGGGUCUCUGGGCCGAUACUGACGCUGAGGAGCGAAAGCGUGGGGAGCAAACAGG